rnacentral:rRNA from 1 species
GCGCGAAAGCACGAUGAGGGGAUCCCAAGUGCUUGCUCGUAAGAGUAAGCUGUUUUUAUGUCUAAAAAGCAUAGAGAGUAAGGGCUGGGUAAGACGGGUGCCAGCCGCCGCGGUAAUACCUGCAGCUCAAGUAGUGACCGCUAUUAUUGGGCCUAAAACGUUCGUAGCCGGUUUGGUAAAUGCCUGGGUAAAUCGUGUAGCCUAACUAUACGAAUUCCGGGUAGACUGCCAAACUUGAAACCGGGAGAAGCUAGAGGUACUCCUGGGGUAGAGGUGAGAUUCUGUAAUCCUAGGGGGACCACCAGUGGCGAAGGCGUCUAGCUAGAACGGGUUUGACGGUGAGGAACGAAGCCCUGGGGCGCAAACCGGAUUAGAUACCCGGGUAGUCCAGGGUGUAAACGCUGCUUGCUUGAUGUUAGUUGGGCUCCGAGCCCAAUUAGUGUCGGAGAGAAGUUGUUAAGCAAGCUGCCUGGGAAGUACGCGCGAAAGCGCGCGAAAGCGCGCGAAAGCGCGCGAAAGCCA